GACGAACGCUGGCGGCGUGCUUAACACAUGCAAGUCGAACGGGAUCCGGGCUUUCGGGUUUGGUGAGAGUGGCGAACGGGUGAGUAACACGUGAGUAACCUGCCCCCUUCUUUGGGAUAACGUCGGGAAAUCGGCGCUAAUACUGGAUAUUCUUGCUGCAUCGCAUGGUGUGGUUUGGAAAGGGUUUCUGGUGGGGGAUGGGCUCGCGGCCUAUCAGCUUGUUGGUGGGGUGAUGGCCUACCAAGGCUUUGACGGGUAGCCGGCCUGAGAGGGUGUCCGGCCACACUGGGACUGAGACACGGCCCAGACUCCUACGGGAGGCAGCAGUGGGGAAUAUUGCACAAUGGGCGCAAGCCUGAUGCAGCGACGCCGCGUGAGGGAUGACGGCCUUCGGGUGGUAAACCUCUUUCAGUAUGGAACAAGGAUCCUUCGUUUGGGGGGUUUGAGGGUACGUGCAGAAGAAGCGCCGGCUAACUACGUG
rnacentral:rRNA from 1 species